GAAUCCAUGGGCCAUGGCCCAUGUGUCAUGAUCAUAAGUUUGAAAUAUGGUAAAAAGGAAGGUAUGUUUGAACACUGACAGUAAUUAUUAUUAUCAUGCCAUAAUGUAAUGACCUGAGGCCAAACGACGUAGUUUUUGAAGUCGAAGCCAUUGAAAUGGCGUCCUUUCUUCGGGCAAUCUAAAAUCUCUAGGACAUGUGUCGUGCGCCAACUGCCCCACGUGGUCUGGGACAUUUGAAAAUAGCUGAACCAAAUUACAUUGUUAUCCCUCCAACUUAACCUAGCCGUUGGAGCUUUUUUCGCUCCCUUUUCAACCCAAAUUCUGGCAUUGUCAUUUGGGGAAUGACCGGGGGUAUUUUAGUCAUAUUUGGUUCACAGGCUACUCUUCUUGCUCUCACUGUAGUUUUGCUCUGCGCUGAGUUAAAAAAAUAACGCAUAAAACCAAAACGAAACGGCUAAAUCUCUUUCUAUCUCUCUCUCGUCUUCUCUCUGUUUCUCUUCAUUCUGUUUGUUCUGAUUUUCUCUCUCUUAGGGUUAGGGUUUCUGGUUUGGUUUCAGCCAUGGCUUCGUCUUCGUCUGAACCUGGUUUGAAACCUGAGAGUGGCGGUGGUAGUGGUAGUGGUGGAGGAGAAACUUCCGAGGCAGCAGUGGCGAGUGAUCAACUCUUGCUGUACAGAGGAUUGAAAAAAGCUAAAAAAGAGCGAGGGAGUACUGCCAAAGAGAGGAUCAGCAAAAUGCCUCCUUGUGCCGCCGGGAAACGCAGCUCUAUUUAUAGAGGAGUUACCAGGCAUAGAUGGACUGGUCGUUAUGAAGCCCAUCUUUGGGAUAAAAGUACCUGGAACCAAAAUCAAAAUAAGAAGGGAAAGCAAGUUUACUUGGGUGCAUAUGAUGACGAGGAGGCUGCAGCUAGAGCGUAUGAUCUUGCUGCUUUAAAAUACUGGGGCCCAGGGACGCUCAUUAAUUUUCCGGUUACAGAUUAUGCUAGAGAUCUUGAAGAGAUGCAAAAUGUCUCAAGAGAAGAAUACCUUGCAUCUCUCCGAAGAAAGAGCAGUGGUUUCUCAAGAGGAAUAUCUAAAUAUCGUGGGCUUGCCAGUAAUCGGUGGGAUCAACCAUUUGGACGUAUAGCCGGACAAGAAUACUUCAAUAACACGCACUAUGGUAUGGGUGAUGAUGCAGCAGCGGAAAGUGAAUUUUUUGGUGGUUUUUGCAUGGAAAGAAAAAUUGAUCUAACAGGUUAUAUUAAGUGGUGGGGGCCCAACAAAACUCGCCAAUCAGAUUCCCACGCAAAAUCAUCAGAGGAAACAAAGCAAGGCAGUGGGGAAGAUAUUGGCAGUGAACUUAAAACAUUGGAAUGGGCAAUCCAGCCUACUGAGCCAUAUCAGAUGCCCCGUUUGGGCCUUCCCCAUGAAGGGAAAAAGCAAAAAAGUUCCACUGUAUCGGCCUUGAGCAUUUUGUCACGGUCUGCUGCCUACAAGAGUUUGGAAGAGAAAGCAUCCAAAAAGCAAGAAAAUAACACUAAUAAUGACGAGAAUGAGAAUAAAAAUAAAAUCAACAAGAUGGAUCAUGGAAAAGCAGUUGAGAAAUCAACAAGCCAUGAUAGUGGAAGUGAGAGACUUGGAGUAGCAUUAGGACUGGGUGGGGAAUUCUCUAUUCAAAGAAGUGUGUAUCCAUUGACUCCUUUGUUAUCCGCACCACUUCUUACCAACUACAGUAGUGUUGAUCCCUUGGCGGACCCUAUUUUAUGGACAUCUCUUGUUCCUGCUCUGCCGACUGGACUUCCACGUACUGCUGAGGUUACAAAGACUGAGACCAGUUCAACUUAUACCUUCUUUCAUCAGGAGGAACAAUGACAGUUCCACAAUCUUCUACAAUUUGGUGGAAAAGCAGACGUUUGCUUGAGUUCCAUUUAGUGUUCUAGCGAUGCAGUAGUUUGAAAAGAAGGUGGAAAGAAGACAAGAUUAAACAGUAAAAUGCAAGUAUAAAGUCAAGUGCUGAAUUUGGACAGGUAUUAUCAGAAUGACUGAUAGCUAGAGGACACCAUCGGCCAAUGUCAAGACUAGAUGUAAUAGAGGGUGGAUUUGAAAUUGCGAGUGGAGGCGUGCGUUACAUUGUAGACAUAACUAGGCAUCUCAUUUGGACAAUCUGGUAAUGGGGCUUUAAACUUGAGAACCUCAAUAGCUUGUCUUGCUGAAGGCUUUUCCAUGUUAAUUGGGUGAGCACACUACAGUCCAACAAUCAACAAACCUUCCAUUUCGUGAGCAUUGAAAUCCAUAUUCAAUCUCUCAUCAGCUGCAUCUAGAGUCUUUCCAGCUCCAUGGAGCUCCCAAACCCAGGGCACUAGCCCUAGAUGACUCUCCUCAUCUUUAUGUUUCCUUCUCCCACUAGCAAUUUCCAAAGCCACAAUUCCAAAGCUAUAUAUGUCAGAUUUUGUACUUGCCCUGCCUUCAUGGUAAUAUUCAGGUGCUAUGUAGCCAAAUGCUCCCACUACCUUAAUUGUUUGAGAGCUGAAUCGAGGGUUUAGAAACUGAGCUGCCCCAAAAUCACCAAGUUUAGCAUUGAAAUUCAAGUCCAAAAUCACCAAGAUCAAUGUUCCCACUGCCUUAAUUGUUUGAGAGCUAAUCUAGAAACUGAGCUGAUCCAAAAUCACCAAGUUUAGCAUUGAAAUUCAAGUCCAACAUUACAUUAGCUGACUUGACAUCCCGGUGGGGUAUGCAUUGCCCAGAUUCUUCAUGAAGAUAAAGCAAUGCAGAAGCCAAGCUGAGAACCACAUUGUAUCUGAGGUUCCACGAGAGGUGCAUUCUGUUGUUCCCAAGGAGAUACUUGUCUAGGUUACCAUUAAACAUGUAAUCAUAGACAAGAAGGAGUUCCCCUUGAUCAA